rnacentral:lncRNA from 1 species
GGGAAAACCCACCUGAAACACCCUCUACCCUGCAGCCCCACACAGCCUACAGAGCUUGUUGUGAUGGCAUGCUGGGAAAGAUACAAGCGGAUGGUGCUUAAAACAAGUGCGUGUGCUGUGCAUCUGGAACAUCUUUACAAGAUGCUUUCUGCCUUCCCCAGAUAUACCUGGACUCACAGCCCUUUGAAAUACAACCUGAGCGGCAGAUUUACGACCAUCAAACCGCGUCUUUAUCCCGACGUGAAACAGAGCAAUGGCUGUGCGAAGCGGUUAUCCGGAGGGGCAGCGCGGCUUACAAGCAGCAGCAAUUACUGCGUGAGAGCCGGCAUUUCUCUGCAGGAGAGGCAGCAGGCGCGGACUCCCCCCGGCAGCAGCACCCCCGUCCUUCCAGCAGGAGCUGCAGCGUUCACGCCGUGUCCCGGCGGCUUUCCUCCCCUGGAAAGCCAGAAAGUCCCACCUUGUAACCCCCCUCAUUCUCAACGUUUGAAUAACCACCUACAGCGGGUCAAAACCCGACCAGAAGUGCGUUCCCAGGGUCACACCCCGCCACCACUCGCCCUCCUCCAUCCUCCCCUGAACGCACGGUAUCCCUGAGGGCAGCCCGAUGCCCCCAGCCCUGAGCUGCUGGCCUCCCAGAGGAGCCUCACGAGUUCUGCCCCAACCCGCCGGUCCGCUCUGCUCCCAGCGCCCCGCAGCAUCACUCAGCCGUGUGCGAACCACCCCUACCUCCCUCGGUUCGGGCUGUGAGAGCACCGGGCUCGCCCGAGGAAAGCUUUCAGCCCUGGCUGCCUUUGCAAAGCUCCCAGGCGAUUCACACUCGCUCUUUCACAGGGAAACUAAACUAGAAAUGAAAAGCUGAGAUUUUUGGGAGGGAGGCAGAGGAGGUCCUGCUCCCAGUCUAGGUUUCUUUGCUCCACAUCAGCGACAAGCCUCCCUCCGUGAGUGCUUGCAACCAUUGCCAUCGAGCUGACUGCAAAAUGAGGGGUCUUUAGCUCAGGCAUUUGCUGGAUAUGUUGGCAAAAAAUAAAAAAUAAAUAAAAAAUAAAAAAUAAAAAAUA